UACGUAGGUGGCAAGCGUUGUCCGGAUUUACUGGGCGUAAAGGGCGCGUAGGCGGCCCGCUAAGUCGAACGUGAAAUCCCCGAGCUCAACUCGGGAACUGCGUCCGAUACUGGUGGGCUUGAAUCCGGGAGAGGGAUGCGGAAUUCCAGGUGUAGCGGUGAAAUGCGUAGAUAUCUGGAGGAACACCGGUGGCGAAGGCGGCAUCCUGGACCAACACUGACGCUGAGUGAGCGAAAGCCAGGGGAGCAAACGGG
rnacentral:rRNA from 1 species